AAGUCAUGUUGAAGACAAUUUCUUAAAGGCCCUUGUACCUCUCCCAAGCUUCGUAUAACAACUCUCCCAUUUCUUAUUGGAAGUUGGAUAUCUUCUUCUUUAGCUU